ensembl:lncRNA
AUUGAAUUUACCACAGGUGGACUUCAUCCUUGAUGUUUCUAAAAAUGGAUGGAAACAUGAUGCAAAGGGUCUGAAUACUAAGGUACUACAGAUGAUUAAUUUAUUAUAUAUUAGAAACAACCUGUUUUCGCUUUGUCAUUAUAGGGUAUUGUGUGUAGAUUGAGGGGGAAAACAAUAUUUAAUCAAUUUUAGAAGGCUGUAACGUAACAAUGUGGGAAGAGUCAAGGGAUCUGAAUACUUUCCGAAUGCAUUGUGUGAACAAAAUAAAUGACAUGGCCGGCUGCCCAUGAGCAUGUUUAAAAAAUUGCACAAUUGUUCUGUUGUCAAUCAUUUAUAUUGAGUAUUUGGCUGACCAGUGGGCAACGGCCAGACUCCCUACCAAGAUGCCCGCUUUUCUGGUUGGAUGAGCUGGCGCAAUUUCACAUUCAAAGUCAGUGAGACCCGCUCUGACUGUUCGGGCUCAGGCGCGAAGUGUUUAGGCCACUCAAGCUCACAAAAUGAGACCACCGAUGCAAUCUUCGCUCUCUCCCACUACUCUUCCAUCCCAUCCACUUCCUUCUGUGAAAUACUCCCUUCUGUCUCUUGACUGCCUUUUCAACCCGACUCUCCUCCCAUCCUUUGACACCAACUGUCCCCUUUCCUCCCGGGCAGCCCGAUCCUCCUCUCCAUGACUGAGUGACUCACUACGUGCUAACAGAACAGGGUUGCUAACAGAACAGGGUUGCUAACAGAACAGGGUUGCUAACAGAACAGGGUUGCUAACAGAACAGGGUUGCUAACAGAACAGGGUUGCUAACAGAACAGUUACACAGAACUGGAAGAAAACUAAACUUCCGGAGGACCUAUCAUCCUUCCACUCUCUCUACGUAGCAAGUACGCACGAUUACAUUGGGUCCAGGCCAAGGCCGGACUGUCUCCUGAACUCGCCGUUUAACAGAUCCGGAGAUUGGAGGGAUGAGAGAGUGGGCAGAAACGGUUAAGGGCGACUGACCCAGAGACAGAGAGCUGCCGAAGCGCCUCCCCUUCCCCCAGGCGAUCCUUCUCCAUCUUGAGGCGCUCCCUCUCCACCUGCAGGCGCUCUGUCUCCACCCUCAAGCGCUCUCUAUCCAGCUGGAGCCGGUUCUUCUCCACAUCCAGGAUUUGUUGGAGCAGAUUGGCUUGGGGGCCUUGUGGUGUCCAGCCAGACGUGAUGGGUUGGGGUGUAGAGUCAGAGUGGAUGGAGUGAGCUGGUGCAGGACAGGAGGUGAUGGGUUGGGGAGCAAAGCCAGAGUGGAUGGAAUGAGCUGGUGCAGGACAGGAGGUAAUGGGUUGGGGAGCAAAGCCAGAGUGGAUGGAAUGAGCUGGUGCAGGACAGGAGGUGAUGGGUUGGGGAGCAAAGCCAGAGUGGAUGGAAUGAGCUGGUGCAGGACAGGAGGUGAUGGGUUGGGGUGCGGUGCCAGAGAGUGCAUCUGCAUUGCUUGCUAUUUGGGGUUUCAGGCUGGGUAUCUGUAAAGCACUUUGUGACAACUGCUGAUGUAAAAAGGGCUUUAUAAAAUAAAUUUGAUUCAUUGAUUGAGAGUGGAUUGAGUGAGCUGGUGCAGGACGGGAGGUGAUGGGUUGGGGUGGCACUGUUGGUGCUGGCCAAGGUGUUGAUGGUGAGGUGGAGGGUAGCUCCUCCAUGGUGACAGAGGGUAAAGCUGCCUCCACAGUUCCCUCUGCUGCUGGUGGGGGACCAGAGCUGGAGAUUUCUCCCUGAGAGAGACCUGGACAAGACGAUUCGGUCAAUAUUAUUUAAGAUAUUUUAUAUUAUUUAUCACUUCUUGUUGAAAUUAUUUAUUUUAAAUUGUCAUGUUUUCCGUUGGUAAACCAUUGUGACAUUAUGUUUUUUAAUUCAAAAAAAGAAUACACUUAAAUUAUUCCUGG